GUAGGGUGCGGGCGUUAAUCGGAAUUACUGGGCGUAAAGCGUGCGCAGGCGGCUCCUUAAGUCAGAUGUGAAAUCCCCGGGCUUAACCUGGGAACUGCGUUUGAAACUGGGGAGCUUGAGUGUGGAAGAGGGGGGUGGAAUUCCAGGUGUAGCAGUGAAAUGCGUAGAGAUCUGGAGGAACACCGAUGGCGAAGGCAGCCCCCUGGGCUAACACUGACGCUCAUGCACGAAAGCGUGGGGAGCAAACAGGAUUAGAUACCCUGGUAGUCCACGCCCUAAACGAUGUCAACUGGUUGUCGGGGAAGCAAUUCCUUGGUAACGAAGCUAACGCGUGAAGUUGACCGCCUGGGGAGUACGGCCGCAAGGUUAAA
rnacentral:rRNA from 1 species